rnacentral:rRNA from 1 species
UACGUAGGUGGCGAGCGUUGUCCGGAUUUACUGGGCGUAAAGAGCGCGCAGGCGGUCGUUCAAGUCGCGUGUGAAAGCCCCCGGCUCAACUGGGGAGGGUCACGCGUACUGAUCGACUCGAAGGCAGGAGAGGGAAGUGGAAUUCCCGGUGUAGUGGUGAAAUGCGUAGAUAUCGGGAGGAACACCAGUGGCGAAGGCGACUUCCUGGCCUGUUCUUGACGCUGAGGCGCGAAAGCUAGGGGGAGCAAACGGGG